rnacentral:lncRNA from 1 species
GUUGUUGUGUGCAAGGCAUGUGAGAUGGUCUUAGGUGAACUAUCCUGGAUGGGAGCUGAUGCCUUCCUCUGCUUCAGCAGAGUAUUCUAGGUGCAGGGUGAGAGAAUAGGCCUGCAUUUUCCAGCACUCAACAAUCCUGCAAGGGACGAGGUGAGGUUCCUGCUCCUGUAUCUACUACUUUCCUUGUUUUUCUCUGAGUGAAUGGAAUACUAACCUAAUUGGCUCAGAAGAAGAAGACUGCAGUAGAAGACUGGCUACAUUUACUUACUAAAUAAGUAAGUCUCAUUGGCUUCCUACUUCAUGGGACAGGCUCGGAAAGAAAGCCAGCAGAGACUAACAGGCAUGACCCAGUUGAAUGGAGUCUCUGCUUGGAGGCCAGGCCGUGAUUGGAGACCUACCCUCACACUUAUAAGAAUAAACACUUCAUUGGAAGACUUCUAAGUCGUUCAGAGAAUGGAAACCAAUUAUUUCUCUUCUGGGAGAAACUGGUAAAAAUUGGACUUUAAAAAAAUUACAUGUAAUAGGAGCUCUUGAAUAGAGAUAUUGUUAGACUUUAGGGGUAAUUAUCAAGGAAAAUGCUCAGCUUCUUUCAUUAAAGACUGGUAAAAACUAUCAUGGUUAGACAGAGUUUUUCCUGAAAUAAAGAGAAUAACUUUUAUAAAUUUUGUGUUUCUUUCCAAUACCAUGAUACUAUGCCAUAUUAAUAUUUCUAUGACUGCAUUUGGUACCAUCUUUACUAUGAAAAAAUAUAGUUUAAAAAAUCUUUUUUUAAUCAAAUAUAUGUGGUAAUGAAAGUUUGUAGUCUAGUUUUCCUUCCCUGGUACAGUUAAUGAUGGUUUCAUUACCCAAAGAACUCAAUAAACCAACUGUUUCAUUAUGCUGACAAACAACUUGAUCAAUAAAACUGCU